GGAGGUUGAAAUUCAUUUCAAUUUAAUUUAUAAUAACCAAAUCUGUUAAUAUGAAAUCCAGGUGAUAGUCUGGCCUCUCUUUCGUAGUGCUUGUCCUGGGAGAUGGGUGGCAUUACUGAUGGUGUGCCCAGCACUCCUAAGUAGGGAGGCCCCCUGGGAGUCCAGUUCAUGUUGCUCAAGUUGUUGAAAUCUGGAUUUGAGUGCUGAGUUGACCAUUGCAGCCGUGGUAUGAUUCUGGUCUCUGCAUAAAGUAACCAAGCUUUGUUUUCUGGUGUGAUACCUUUCCUGUAUUUUUAUUACAGUUCAGCAUAUUUAGUUUCUUGUUUUAAACCAACUCAAGAUAAGAAAUUUAACUUUUUUUCCCCCUGAAUAUCAAAGUGAUACUGUCUGUUACAGAAAAUUCUGAAAAUAUGGGAAGGUAUAAAGAAGAAAUUUCAAAAUUACCAGUAAUCCAGUCACUCAACCAGCACUUUUAGUAUUUUGAUUGUCUUUUAAGAAGAAUAAUUAUUGAAGAAGAAUGGGAGCGUGUUAUAUAUUUGUGACUUUGACUUUGUGACUUCAAAGGUGGUUUCAUGCAGGCUACUUUUUAAAAAAAUAAUUGAAUUCAGUUGUUUUGAAAUUCUGCUUUUUUGGAAAGAUCUGUUAUGUACAUUUCAUAAAAAGCAACUUCAUUGACCAUGAGUACUGGAAUUCAGCAUUUAACUGCAGCUGUAGUCCUGGGGAUAUGUAUACCUUAACUGAUUCCAUUUGAUAACCAUCUCCUGUGUCCUGGAGUAAAUGGCUGUAAGUGCAGAGCAGCGUCUGAGCCUCAUGAAGGGAUCGUGUCGGACUGUGAGAGGAAGGUUUGUGCAUUCGUCCUUUACCUUUGCCUUUCUGCAUGUGGCCAGUGAUGUAAAAACUGGCAGCAGCCAUCCUUCUUCCUCUCUGUGUCUCUUCUUCCUCUCUGAACAUGAAUCAAACAGGCAUCCAUUUCAGAAUCUCAGGGGACACUGCCAGCUCCCCAUCAUGACUUGUGUGUUUAGUUUGUAGGCGCAAUAUGGAAAUUAUGGAAGAUGAGCUUCAAGGUUCAGCAGUUAACCGUGGGUCUAUUUCUGCUCUACUUUAUGGGUUACACUGAAAUGGAUACUCAACUUAUUUCUAAGAAACAUGCAGUUACACAGCUGUCUCCUGCUUUCUGGCUUUUAUUAAAAUGCAAAUAGUCCUCACUUCAAAGUAGCAUAAUCAAAUCCUGAAAGAAGUAUAACUGAUACUUUGCCUCCUCUCUAGUAUUUCCACUAUGUUGUCUGGCCUGGCUGGCUUUUCCGACCCUUCUCUGCUAGGCUUGAUCCCAGGCUAGUGGAAAGUGUGGUGUUCACAGUGUGCAGUUUUACCCUGGGUGUGCAGUCACAUGCACCCCCACAUGACAUGAGCUCUGGUGGUGUUAACAGCACAAAGUGUUAAAUAUAAAUAUGCGUGGCCAAAGAAUGUCAAUUAUUUUGGCAGUUAAUAGAUUUCUCUGCAUUUACCAGUAUGUAUUUAAUGAAGUGAAGUCAGUGCGUCGGUCUGUCUUUGUUCUUCACAUGUCUACUCUUUUAGUUUAAAAAGAAUGUCAUGAAAGUGAAGUAGUUUCUCUUCUCUCCUAAACAUCCAAUCACGGAGCGUGUUCUUGGUGGGCAUUCUUCACGUGUACCCAGAAUGCCAGAACACGACGUCAUCUAGGUCUUCAUUUUAGUGUGAUUAGAAGCUAAGUCCCUCAGCAUUUUUUAAUAGAAACUGAUACCCGAUUUAAACAUCACCAUCUAUCAAAGCACAAGAGCCCAGCUCUGCCAAUGCCCCAGCAGUGGCCAACUGGUGGGGAGUGAGGACAGAACUGCACACUUUUGCAGAUCAAAGGGGGCUGUUGGAUUUUACUACUCUACACGUAACUGAUGAAUUGCUAAAGCUCACCUGUGCACCUUAAAUCCUGUUCAAGCCCGAUUCUCCGGGUAGGGGGGAAUUAAAACAUAAGCUCCCUAAGCUGCUGCUGGAUCAUGUCAUUUCAUGCUCCCUUUUGGAAAUGUGUCCCAGUUCAAACAAGCGAACACUGUUUGCUCCUCUUGUCUUGUGACUUGUCCCAGAUAACUGGAGGAUUAUCCUGUUACAUUAACCAUAACAUGGAAAGGGGCAUGAUCAGAAGGUACAUGUCCCAGGAAAGCAAACUAACUGGGGGGCCCUGAAACCCUCCAGCAGGACUCACAGUGAGCCUGCAAACACACUUUAUCGUGUGUGUCUGAGAAAAACCCCACUGCACCUGGCCAGCGGAGGCCACCUGCUUCUGGCCCUUCCUUUUCAGGCCACCCCCACCUGGAGUGGUAGAUAGGCCUCUUGGCUUGAGUGCUGUGGCCAGCCAGGUGUUCACAGGUGCAGGGGAGCUGUUCUGGGCCAGAAAGACUGGCAGACCUCGCAUGGCCCAUCAGGAAGCCUGUCCACCUCCCAGGGAAAUGAAGCAGAUACUGCAGCAUUGGUUUUCAAGUGAGGCUUUCAGAUAUGUUAUCUGUUAAGUAAACUCUGCCAUUCAAAGGUAUUACUGAAACAAAAGCCAGAGAGUGAAAUGUGAAAACGUUCUCCUCUGUCCUAUGGUGAGCCAGCGAAAGGUGGCGAUGUGCACUACCAGAGGGUCCUUCACCUUGGGUGUACAGUGGGCUAGUUGGAGAAUGUUUUCUUGAGGAGCUGAUGUUCUCCCAGGCUACUCUGCUCUAGGCACAAAACCUCACUUUGGAAUACUUCACCUGCAACAGAGCCUGUUUUGUAGCUAGUAAAUACUAGGUGUUACUUAGGAAUAAAUAAUUGGCACCCAAAUCAGUAGGUAAAUACAUGACUAAGUGAGGGGAGGGUGGUUUGGAGUUGUUCCCACCUCUGUGCUUUUAUUUUAUGACAAAACAGCCUCAUCAGUGAUGUUACAGGACGUGCAGCCCUGAGAGCCCCAGAGCUCUUUUCUGACCAGGCUAUGUGAUGGGCAUGUGCAUGUAUAGGUGUGUAUAAUGGGGAUAAGGAUUCUUCUGAUACUGUGCCAAGUGCUAGAACACUAGAGUUCAUUUUAGAAUGGCUGUUUUUGGGAUGGCCACGUAUUGUUCAGGGAGAUUGCAGUUGGAAAAAGUGCAGUUGGAAGCACACCUGACAUGGUUGGGGGAAGGUGCCUACAGCUUCAGCCAGCGCAGCCAGCUAAGAAUAGCUCCUGUGCUAUGUGCUGUUAAUCUCGGAGACGGUUCCUUACCACUAGUCCAUGGAGUCUAGAGUUGGCCAAACAGAUAUAAGUCCGCUGUGUCCUCAUUUCACCUCUUCUUUUGUUCUACGCCUUUUUCUCUUGUACUUUUGUUCCUCUUUCUAGUACUAACGUCUCCUCCACCUGUUUGUUCUGGUGCCGUGUGCUCAGCAUGUCUCUCCAUGCUCCUCUCUUACCCCCUAAAACCCCAAGUGGUGAUUCCUUCCUUCCAGCAAAAUGUACUCAUUCAGUUUCCCUCUCCUCCCUCCCUGUUGUGUUUCUCUACCAUUCUUUGAUAGGUGAUAUGAUGAGCCAGAAUUGAUAGGCUCAUGUGUAUGUGGUUCUGUCUCCAUCAGUCGGUGU
rnacentral:lncRNA from 1 species